rnacentral:rRNA from 1 species
UGCGUAGGUGGUGAGGUAAGUCGGAUGUGAAAGCUCGGAGCUCAACUCCGAAAUGGCAUUGGAAACUACCUUGCUUGAGGAUUGGAGGGGGGACUGGAAUACUUGGUGUAGCAGUGAAAUGCGUAGAUAUCAAGUGGAACACCAGUGGCGAAGGCGAGUCCCUGGACAACUCCUGACACUGAGGCACGAAAGCUAGGGGAGCAAACA